CUUCAGGGUGUUCGAUAAGGACCAGAACGGCUUCAUCUCUGCUGCCGAGCUCCGCCACGUCAUGACCAACCUCGGGGAGAAGCUAACUGAUGAGGAGGUUGACGAGAUGAUCCGCGAGGCUGAUGUUGAUGGUGACGGCCAGAUCAACUAUGAGGAGUUCGUCAAGGUCAUGAUGGCCAAGUGAAAUCAAAAUGUAUAAUAUUUUAAAAGAAGGAAUGGGGAAAUUUAUUUCGUGGCAGAUUUAUUCAAAUGCGCGAGAUUAUUUCCUCCUCUUCUGCUGCGUAGUUAUCUGGAUAGGGUAGUUGUGAAACGGAAGAAGGACGAUGACUCUGUGUUUGACUCCCUCUCUUCCCUGCUUGUCUUUGGAUUAUAUUGUUAAUCCCUGUUUCUGUGAAUGUUUUAUGUUUGUUUCAUCUUGGAAGUGGAUUUUGCAUAUGCAGUAUGCUAGUUAUAUGUUCAUCUUCGUUAUAACUAUAAUUUCUGAUGAAUCACUUUUUGCAGUAUUUCUUUCGUCAUGCUGCUGCCCAUUUGGUUUUAAUAGCUGAACUGCUCAGUUUCAUGAUGAUGCAUAUAUAUAGUUCUCCUUGCAUUGUUGGCAUCUCUUGUAGUGUGAUAUCUUGGCUUUUAAUGUGCAAAUCACACAUCAGCAAAGUGCAAUAUUUUUAUGAUUCUGUGAUUUUUAAAUGUUAAAAUAUCAUGCUUCUCGACUGUUAUUUUUGCUGUUGAUUGUUACUCAUGAAAACCAUGGUGGAAUGUUCUUAUCUAUGACUUCUACUUUAUCACUUUGUUUGUUUUAUAUUUUACCACCUUAUCAUGGAUAUCUAUUUCCUUAGGAAGAUCAACCAUUUCAUUUUAAUGUAAAUUAUUAUUAUUAUUAUUAUUAUUAUUAUUAUUAUGUUGCUGAAGUUGAGAAGAUCAAUCGAUCAACCUGCAUUGAGCUUUGAAAAGCAUCUCCUAACCUUCUAGGAAUCUCUUUUACAAUAGAGAAAUGAUAUUCACAGUUCUUUGACUUGCAUAUCAAAUUUGAUGGUGUUUUAUGAUUGGUAGAAAUGGUAGUGUGCUUUGUGUACGAAGAAAUAAUAAUAUGCAGAGAAUAUCACAAGGCGGGUAGUUGGAAGGGCAAUGAAUUUGGAAGGUGCUGUGGUAGGUAGCAACUACUUUACUCUGUUUUUUCUAUCAAUGUUACAAUCUCCCUCUUUUGGUGCUUGUGCUUAUAGUUGUUGAUAAUAUAGGAGGAAUGGGGAGCAAGGAGAAGAAGAUGAAGACACUCUGCCUUCAUGGCUUCCGAACUAGUGGGAGCUUCUUGCAAAAGCAAAUCAGCAAGUGGGAUCCAUCCAUCUUCCAAGAAUUCGACUUGGUGAGCUCUCUCUCUCUCUCUCUCUCUCUCUCUCUCUGAAGGAUGCAUUAAUAAAAUAAAGAAUAGAGGAUCAACUAAGUUGUUCGCUAUGUGAUGUUGAUAGUUUUCUUCACUCCGGAUUCUAAAUCAUUACACGAUUAGACCUGAGCAAAAUCCACGCCGGUCUGAUUUUAGAUCGGCUGUGCGAAGCUCUAAAUGACCGAAUUAGGUCGUGUUGGGCUAAGUUAGAAAGUUAGAAUCCUGAGUGGCCUCCUCAAGAUUUUCUCAAAUCAAUCUACACCAUCAACUGGGUCAGCCCGAACCGGCGGGGCUAGAGUUUUUUCACUUCUAUUCAUGAUUACUGAUUAUUGAAUCUCUGAAUGAGCUUUCUUUCUUAUUUUAUAGUGCAUCCUUACUGUGAGCUGAACUUCUUUGUUUCGAAAUCAUUUUGAUUUUCAUCGUCGUUUAGGUCUUCCCUGAUGGGCUCUUUCCAGCAGGAGGGAAAUCGGAUAUAGAGGACAUAUUCCCCCCGCCCUAUUUUGAGUGGUACCAAUUCAACAAGGUGGGUGCAGAAUAAGUAUAUGUUAAUAGUACAAUACAUUUAAGUUUCCCACAAGAUAUACAAAGAAACACUUGAGUUAGAGUUCUCUAUUAGUUUAAGUGUUUUAGGUUGAUUGCUUCGCGCAGAAUCGAUUAAUGUAGGCAUUUGGUACAAUAUUUGAUUGCCCAAUCCAUUAUUCUACAUCAAAAUUUCCACUUAGUUAUUUAGUUCAUGGGAAACCACAUAUGAUGAACAACAUGUUUUCUAUUCUUAGGCAUCUAAUACAGUAGUUAUCAUUUAAUAUGGCUUGAUACAUGCGACUUAAUUUUUGUGGCGUAUAUGGCAAACAGGAUUUCACGGAAUACACGAAUCUUGAUGAAUGUAUUUCUUACUUGUGCGAUUACAUGACAAAAAAUGGCCCUUUUGAUGGACUGCUUGGUUUCUCACAGGUAUAACUUCUACGCUUUAACCAGUGUAAUACAUCUUAUUUUUUUACCGUUAUUUUUAUUUGAAAUUGUAAAAUUUAGUUUGCGAUGCAUUAAUAUUACAUGCCAAAAAUAUUAACCAACCCUACCCCUACAUAAGCAUCCAUGAGUCUUUGUUCAAACUUUUUAGUGAUGUUUCAUUUCAAUCUGACAAACUUGUUUUUUUUUUUUUCUUUACCCUAAUAUUUCCGCAUUGAAUCAGGGUGCGACGCUAUCGGCACUUUUGGCCGGCUAUCAAGCACAGGUACGUUACUACUCCAAGAUAAGAUAAGAAUAGAAGAGAUAAUUGCAAACAAUAUCCCUAGUUACUACCAGUGAAUGUUAAUAUUCUGUGUGCAUGGUACUUUCCGGAACAAAAAAAAAAAAAACACAUCUAACCCUAACAGUGCAAACAAUCUAGUACCAAAUCCAUCUCAUGUUGCAUCAUUUAUUCUCAUACAACAGGGCAAGGUACUGAGUGACCACCCACCAAUAAAAUUUGUGAUCUCAAUCUCUGGGUCCAAAUUUAGAGACCCAAAUAUUUGUGAUGUUGCAUACAAGGAACCCAUCAAGGUUAAGUCCGCGCAUCUGAUCGGGGACAAAGAUUGGCUCAAAAUUCCCUCUGAGGAGCUCGCAACUGCAUUUGACAACCCUCUGAUUCUAAGACACCCACAGGGCCACACUGUCCCCAGGCUAGGUUUGAAAUUUCCUGCUUAAAAUUGCUUACUUUUUUGCUUGCAUGUAUUUGAAAUAGAUAAACAUGUACUUGUUUUAAAUCAAUGUAUAAUAUUUUACUAUAAUGUUUUGUUGGAAGCUAAUUUAUACCCUUCAGAUAAAGGCCCUUUUUAUUCCCUUUUUUAUACCCUGAAUAUAGGAUAUAAUCUUGAAUUCUUGAUGUUGACAGAUAAGAUUCAUUGAACUUGUUUUCGCUAUUUGAAUUUAAACAGAUUCAAUCAAUCUAAUUUGCUGCUGUCAGAAAAGCUUACCUUUCGGUCUAACGGCAGAAAGAUGAAUAACUGCAGAUGAGGCAGCAGUGAGGCAUCUUUGUGAGUGGACUACAAGCGUUCUGGGC
rnacentral:lncRNA from 1 species